rnacentral:lncRNA from 1 species
GGGGUGUGACGUCCGGGUGGAUUUUUUUUUUCUUCGCAUACGAUGGUCGACUGAGACACAACAAGUCUCAGUCGACUGUCUAAGUUCAACUAUUACAAGGUUUAAAACAUGGCCGUAUCAACGAUAAUGAAAGAAGGAGAUUGCACCGAAGGCACAUUCGACUACACCAACAUUAGUUUUCUCCAGUCAGAUGUCGAAUCUCUCUUCCACAUCUUAUAGUUAGAACAUGGAAUCGAUAGAUGUAGCCAUGUAGGCUAGCUACAAAUCCAUACGAAUGUAGGCUACAACAAAUGCCUCAGUAAUAUUCCUUAAAAAAAAAAACCCUCAGUAAUAAUGAGUUGGUUUGGCCCUAAACUCGAACUCACAUCAGUGUAUGCAUGUCUGCAUGUCUGUCUGAACGAGAUAUAUCAUUUGUGCCUUCCUGCCUCCGGAAACGCAAUUCAGGUGCAGAAAGAA